UUAAAGAGUUCUAUAACUCCCAAACCCAUGUGAACAUACCUAACGUUGCCUCGGCAGGUCGCACCUACCUUGUAGCACCCUACCCUGUAGGGCCUACCCGGGAGGUGCGGGUAAGCCUGCCGGCGGCCCACCAAACUCUGUUUGAUAUUGAAUUCUGAACCUAUAACUAAAUAAGUUAAAACUUUCAACAACGGAUCUCUUGGUUCUGGCAUCGAUGAAGAACGCAGCGAAAUGCGAUAAGUAAUGUGAAUUGCAGAAUUCAGUGAAUCAUCGAAUCUUUGAACGCAUAUUGCGCCCAUUAGUAUUCUAGUGGGCAGGACCGUUCGAGCGUCAUUUCAACCCUUAAGCCUUCGUUGCUUAGUGUUGGGAGCCUACGGCAACGUAGCUCCUCAAAGUUAGUGGCGGAGUUGGUUCACACUCUAGACGUAGUAAUUUUUUAUCUCGCCUAUUAGUUGGACUAAUCCCCUGCCGUAAAACCCCUAAUUUAUCAAGGUUGACCUCGAAUCGGUUCAGACAAACUCGCUAAAUUGAAGCAUCUUAGUCAGCGAAGGAAAAGAA
rnacentral:rRNA from 1 species